ACGAACGCUGGCGGCGUGCUUAAUACAUGCAAGUCAAACUUGACUUUAGAUAGCAAUAUCGAAAAGUAGGGUGGCGCACGGGUGCGUAACGCGCAGGUAAUCUGCCCUGAGGUCUGACAUAACCCGUCGAAAGGCGGGCUAACAUCAGAUGAUAUAUAAUCACGACAUCGUGGAAAUAUCAAAUCUUCGGAGCCUUGGGAUGAGCCUGCGUCUGAUUAGGUAGUUGGCGGAGUAAUAGCCCACCAAGCCUACGAUCAGUAGCUGGUCUGAGAGGAUGAUCAGCCACACUGGAACUGAGACACGGUCCAGACUCCUACGGGAGGCAGCAGUAAGGAAUAUUGCUCAAUGGGGGGAAACCCUGAAGCAGCAACGCCGCGUGAAGGAUGAAAUACUUUUGUAUGUAAACUUCUGUAAGAUGGGAAAAAUAUUCUCCUCGGGAGAAUUGAUUGUACCAUCAGAGUAAGCCCCGGCUAACUACGUG
rnacentral:rRNA from 1 species